GGAUGUUCUUUUGUAGGUCUGCUAGCAGGGUCUUUAAUACCCCGGUUGUUACCAGUUCGGCGUCUGUGUCCUUCCUAGGUUUGUUGGGUUUUGCCCUCGGCAUUGGGUCUGGGGCUAGAAGGCAUUCAUCGUCAGCUCCCUCUGAGCAGUCGUCGGAGAAAUCCGAGCAGCCUCCGUGGAGCGCCGCCAUAUUGGAUCCGCUCGGGCCGCGUGCUUGUCGCCACAUAUCCCCU